GUGGUUGUGGUGAUGGGUGGUGGUCAGCUCACAUAAAAGAGGAGCAAAGAGAGUGAGGGAGGAGAGCAGAAGUGAGCCAGAGGCAGCAGCAGAGGAGAGCUGCACUUGAACCUGUCUGUGGGACCAGAUUGGUCUGGAGGUUAGCAGGUUGCUAUGAUCCAACCACAAAUUGCUCCCAUUUGUCUGGUGGAAAACCACAUUGAAUGGCUGUCAGUGAACCAGAAAGCCAUAGAGAUUCUGGACAAGAUUUCUCAGCCAGUGGUAGUCGUGGCUAUUGUUGGAUUGUAUCGUACAGGGAAGUCCUAUUUGAUGAACCGUCUGGCGGGACAGAAUCGCGGCUUCCCUCUGGGCUCCACCGUGCAGUCGCAGACCAAGGGCAUCUGGAUAUGGUGCGUGCCACACCCCACCAAGCCAAAGCACACCCUGGUCCUUCUGGACACGGAGGGCCUAGGGGAUGUGGAAAAGGUAGAAUCAGGCUGUGACUGGCGCUUUUGACCUCUUGAUAUAUACCUGUAUGAUCUCUUUGUGAAUUCUUGAAAAACCCCCAGAGAGGACCUUUCCCUCAGGAGGAGUCCCAAGCGCCCAAUGACCGAGCUGAGUCCACUCGGAUGCAAUCAGCAAGAGGGUUUAUUGGAAAACACAGGUACCUGCGGGCACACAGUCUCUUCGGAGGACUUGCGCGCCUAGCAGCUCCAGCAUGGGGCUUUUAUAGGGUUUGGGGAAGCAGAAGCGGGCAUACAGAAGCAGAUGCAUAGUUACGGGGAUUGGUGGAUUCAAACGAGGCACAUAGACAUGUUCACAUAUGAUUGGCUAUUUCACAUGAUGAGGUAAUAAGGUAUAGCUACACACAUUGGCAGGUUUGGGGCGUCCUGGAUGUCAGGGGCUGGGGGCUUAUCUCUUCCUGCCAGGUGGACUGUGAGUCAGAUCCGGUACUCCUGGUCUGUUCUGCAUUCCUUUCCCUUUAUGGUCUGUUAGUUCUAGCGGCAGGGCAGGGCUGCCUGGACUUGCUUUUCACAAUGUUUAGUCCUGAGUCUGUGAACCCUUCCAACUCCAUAUUUUUAAACCCCAAAUCUGUAUAAUUUUCCCUUCAUUCUGACUGAACUGCAGCAGGUGAGAUAAACAGUGCUCUAUCUAGACUUCACUCUCAGAUAAGGUUAGGUGUACCCUAAUAGGCAAAAUAUGCUUUCAUUUCUUGCCACUUGGGGGAAUAUUUGAUUCAGUUUGACAGAAGUUUAUUCAACAGUUAAAAUUCCUGGAUUCUAGGCAUAGUAGUUAGAUUUUAGUGAAAAAAAAAAAAGGUUCUUCCUUCCAAGAACCUUCCUAACCUUACUGAGAAUCCUGAAAGACCCCCAGAGUGGAGAGACCGCAACCCAAGCCUCAGGAUGAUGCGACCCCUCAAGAACUCAGGAGAGAUUGAUCUUGAUGCAAUCAACAAGAGAUUUAUUGAUAGGGAUGACAGAAACCAGUUCACUGGGGUGGAGACUCGUAUCCCAGGCAGGGGUAGAGGAGUUUGACCUCGAAUGGUUGAAAGAAGGGGUAUUUAAAGGAAAAACCAUACCGAAUCACAAGGAAGAACCUCCUGUUUCUCAUAAUUGUUACCAAAUCACAAGGAAGAACCUCCUGUUUCUCAUGAUUGUUCUUUAAGAUUUUAAUCUAACUUUAUGGUUAGAUUUAAUGUGGUUUAAUGUUUUAUUUUAAAUUAGAUUUGCCCAUUGCUUUGUUGUUAGAAUUGUUGUUUGGUAGGUUUCUCUGUGUUGCCCUGGCUGUCUUAGAACUCAUUCUGUAGAGCAGGCUGGCCUAUAUCGCAGAGAUCCACCUUCCUCUGCCUCCAGAAGGCUGGGAUUAAAGUCAUGUGCCACCAUUGCCUGUCCAUAAAAUUCCUUGUGCCCGUCAUGCCUGUUGUCGGGAAGUAGGCUCCAGUAUUGUUGCUGUGGUUUAUUUUCUCUACCCUGAGCAGUGCUGGGAAUUCAGCCCGCAAUAGGAUGCCUGCUUUACAAAUCCAUAUGUCAGUAUGUAAAACAUAUUCACUCCCACAAUUGCAUACAAAACAUGACAAAGAAACAAAACAACGGGUGGAAACAAAGUAACAACUUCCUGGAAAGAUCCUGACUUUUAUUUCAGCAACUAAAUAUAAAUGUAUUUAAUUAGGUAAAUAUUUAGAAAAUCAUUAAAGAGGAUAACUGAGAGUGGAUAACAACUUCCAAAAGAUAAACAACUGAAGGAAAUAAGCCAAAGAUAACAGCAUAUAGUGGAUGAGUAAUAAAUACUGAAUUUCACAAGAUAGAAAUUUUAGAAAAGUUUGUACAUAACUCUUUAAAAAUUCAGGAGAAAGCAUCUACAACUGACUAAAUGAACUGAAACAUAAACUACCAGGGUUUCAAAGUCAACAUGAUGUAAGUUAUUGCUCUCAGAAAAGAAUCAAAAAGAAUUGUGAUGACCUCACUUGCAUGACCUCCAGGAUGUGACUGAGAGAUCAAAUAAGAGUGUUUUUUAUUAGAAUAUGAAAGACCCCCUCCCAGAAAGGGAAUUGUACAAGCCCAAGGCCCUCAACUAUAGAAGUAAAAAGUAAGUUUUUAGAUAUGUGGGACAAGCUGACCCAUCAUUUAGACGAAACAGACCAGAAAAGAAAACAAAAUGCAGAAACCAGACUAAAUUAUGGACAUUGUUCCAUGGGCCACCUGGCAGGAAAAAGAAACAAUCCCUGACCCCCCGGAAGCCCUGACCACCAUGUACUUUUUGCUAACUCACUGUUAUGAUUAUAGCGAAAAUAGGUAACAUACACGUAUGCCUCAUUUACUCCACCAAUCACAUCCCUGUAACCAUACAUCUGCUUCUGUAAGCCUGCUUCUGCUCCCCAAUGCCCUAUAAAAACCCGUCCCUGGUUCUGCUAGGCGCGCCAGUCUUCCAUAUUGACUGGGACGCCCACAGAUACCUGUGUAUCCUGAUCAAUAAAAAUCCUCUUACAGAUUACAGCCUGUGGACUCGGUCUGGUCAUUGGGCUUGAGGAUCUCCCUCCUGAGGGAAGAUUCUCUCUGAGAGUCUUACAUAUGGGGGCUCGUCCGGGAUGGGAGAUCCUCUGCCUAGAGACCACCGACCACCCUCCGGGAGGUAAGCUGGCCAGUGUUUGUCUUGUCCUGUCUUGUCUUGCUUUGUGACUUGUUCUGUAAAUGCUUAGUUACUUGGCUUGGGUUUGUAUUUGGGCGGGCCAGAGAAGGAGCUGACGAGCUCGGACUUCUCCCCCGCAGCCCUGGAAGACGUUCCAAGGGUGUUUGGAGCCUGGUUUUUCGGGGCUCAGCCUGUAUCGGAAGGAUACGUGGUUUUGGGUUGGAGGAGAGAGGAGAGAGCCGGAUCCACUGAAGGAUCCGGACCCUCAUCGCCUCUGUCUAAAUUUUUGGUUUCAGUUUGACACCGAAGCCGCACGGUGCGUCUGUCUGUCUGACUGUUGGAAUUGUUUGUCUUCUUUGUGUCCUAAUUUUCUUUGAACAUCUGUAGAAAUUGGUUAUAGGAUGCUUUGUCUUGGUCUUGUUUGUCUGGGUUGUUUUCUGUGGUAUUGUCGAGUGUCUUUUUGGCUUUUGUUUCGUUUUUGGACUUUGGAUAGACAACUGUGUUUAAAAUCUUGGACUGACGACUGUGUUUGAAAUCAUGAAACUGUUUGCUUUGUUUGUCAAGGAGUUUUACUUGGUCCUCUUGGUGCUUAACUUGGAAAUAAUUUGCUUGAGAAAAAUUGUUUUAUCUUUCUCUCUUAGCCUCCUCCCCAAGGAGAGAUGCCCCUCCCUUUGCUCCCCUUGUCCAGUCUAGCUGCUGUUAACAGUUGUGUAUGAAGAACUCCAGGUUAGUGAGUGACCCUGUCUGAAGCAGGUAUUAACAAGAGCCUGAAAGCUUUACCUUAGAUCCUGAAGAAAAAUUCUCCCUGUUGCUUAAACAUUCACAGCUUCUAAGGAAGGGACAACACAGAGUAGAAAAAUAUAGGGGCCGAGGGUGACAAGCAUGCAGGCCUGCUAGCAAGCUGCAGGCUGCGCGUGGGCAGUGGCGCAGCUCUGGCCAAGUCAGCGUAAGAGGAGUUUCAAGGUGAUGAGGCCGGCCGGCUUUGACAAGAAGAUAGCGUAGAGUUAGUGGUUGUUUUAUGAGACUUUUGGCCCUGAAAAAAAUAAUAAUUCCAGUUGCUGCCUUCAGUGGCCAGACCUUCAACACUUGCUCACAGAAGGAGAGCAUUCAUUAAGAGAAGUUCUUUAAGGGAGCCUGCCUUAUCUGCUGGCCCUAUUCCAAGAGAGGAGUUGAUCUCCAACAUUAAGUAACCUUCCCUGUUAGUCAUCAUUGACAUGGAGAGUGCCUUUGAUCCUAUCCCCACAGCAGCCAGUUCCUGCCCCUGUGGUCAAAAUGCCCCAGGUUGGGGGACAAAAAAGCCCCUAAAAUAGUUUCAAAAAGAAUCUACAACAAACUGAGAAGAACUUUGUUUUGCCAGUCAAAAUUUAGAAUUCAGGCUUUGGCUGUGGCCAAGGUCAGGAUUAAUGUUUUCUUUUCCAUGGGCCUUUAACCCAGUGAGACAGUUUGGUAGAGGGCUGCUACUGAGGUCCUGAAAGUCCCAGGUGAACCGGUUACAAUUCUUUUGUCAGCCACUUGGCAUCUAGCACCCAGGUCCUAACCAUCUCUCCAUCCUUUUGUUAUUAGUUCUUAAGUCCAGAGAGAUGGUCGGUAACAGAUCAGCUCCCUCUGCUUGCCGUUCUGUUUCACAGACACAAAGCUUGUGCUUAUUUUUACAACAGCCUUUUUGUCCUAAAAAGUCCUCCUGGUUUAGCUGUGUGACUAAAUGCUAUUUGUCCUCUUCAGUGGACCUCUAUUCUCAAGAUUCUCUUGUUUUCUCACCAUCCCAUUUGAGAUGCUUGUUAGUAACUGUUACAGGUCUUCUUUACCACCGAGGAAAGACAGAAUCCUACUAGAGACCAGAAAGAAUGUUCCAGACAUGGAUGGAAGGCCCUCACUCCUGACUGUUGACUUGAAUACCCCUGAAGGUAGGGAGUGCUCCGGGUCUGCCACCAGGCUCCAAGGGUGGGUCUCCGAGGGGCUGGAAAAUGCCCCACCAAUCUGGCUAAGAUAAGGAAAAGAUAUAAAGAGAGAAAGUUACAGAAAUUUGAAGGGUUAAGCUAAGUUGCUGAGAGUUAGUAUAAGUUACAGAGAAAGUAAAGUUAAAGUGUAGUUACAUAAGUGGACAGCAUCUAAUAGCUGUAGAGGAAGAUACAGAAGAUAUGAGAGAGAGACUGAAGAAGAGAAGAGAAAAAAAGAAGAAAGAAGGUAAAAAGAACAGGAAGCUAAGGAAGAAAAGAGACAAAAGGAAAAAGAAGCUAGAGAGCUAAAGAGGGAUAAAAGACAGGAGAGGAAUAUAUACUGGCCACAGUAGUUAGGGAACCUAGGAAGACAGUACCUGGCAACAGAAGAGAAUUCCUAGCUAAAGAUCAGUGUGCCUAUCGCAAGGAAAAAGGACACUGGGUCAGGGACUGCCCCAGAAAGAACAAGAGGGGCCUCUCCAGCAGCCCGGAAGGCAAGCCUCUUGGUCCUAGAGUGCUGGCUAUGCGCUAAGAUAGAAGGGAAGCCUGCCCAGUUGUUUUGUGAAUACGGGGGCCCAACACUCUGUGCUCCUACGCCCAAAUGGGCUAGUGUCCAGCAAAAGACCUUGAGUACAGGGGACUACCGGCAACAAAUGAUACUCAUGGACUACCAGAAGAACGGUGGAGCUUGGCGUGGGCCGGGUAUCCCACUUGUUCCUUGUGAUCCCAGACUGCCCCUACGAGUCUAAACCCUGCAACCCUGCUCCCGGACCCCGACCUAGACACCCCCCUUUAUGACUGUCAGCAGGUGCUCACUAAAGCACAGGGGUGGCAUAAAGAUCUGACUGGCCAGCCACCAAAGAGGGUAGAUGCCAUCUGGUUCAUAGGUGGGAGCAGCUUCUUACAGAAGAAAAAAGAUGGGCUGGGACAACAGUGGUAGAUGGAAACAGAGUCAUUUGGGCUCAGGCCCUACCAGAAGACACCACUACUCAGGGGGUAGAGCUCGCUCCCCUCACCAAAGCCCUUGAGCCGAGAAGGAGACUUAACAUCUAUGUGGACAGCACGUAUGCCUUUGCUACAGCCCAUCAGCAGAGGGGCCUGCUGACAUCUGAGGGCAAGAAAAAAAAAAGAGAUUCUGGCUCUGUUAAGGGCCCUACAUGACCCAGCCAGGCCGAGGAAGAGACUCUGGUACACCUCAACGAGAAAGAAGAUCCUGCUACAAUUUUUACAGGCAGAGGCCAUGGUAAAACAAAUACAUCAAUGGACUCACUUAGGGGUAAGCAAACUCAUCCAGACGUUUUCAAAAACUAAAUAUUAUGUUACAGGUCUCAAGUAUCUCUUAGAACAGAUAGUGCACUGAUGUAUACCAUGCCAAAAGGUAACUGUUUUCAGGAAAGUUGACUCUGGUAGGAGGCUCCGUGGGGAAUGGCCUGGAUCCUACUGAGAAGUGGACUUCACAGAGAUAAAACCAGGAAAAUAUGGUUAUAAAUGUCUCCUAGUGUUUAUAGAUAUCUUUUCAGGAAUAGAUAGAAGCUUUCCCCACCAAACAUGAGACGGCCUCUACAAUCAUCAAGAAGAUACUGGAAGAAAUCUUCCCCCGAUUUAGAAUGCCCAAGGUAAUCUGGUCAGACAACAGUCCUACUUUCGUUGCCAAGGUAAGCCAGGGUGUGGCCAGAUAUUUAGAGGUUGAUUAAAAAUUACGUUAUAUUUACAGACCUCAAAGUUCAAGACAGAUAGAAUAAAUAAAUAAAAUUUUAAAAGAGACCCUGACCAAAUUGACCAUGGAGACUGACACAGACUGGGUGACACUCCUUCCCUCUUGCUCUCUUCAGAGCAAGAAAUACCCCUUCCAGAUUCAGCCUUACCCCCUUUGAGAUCUUAUAUGGGGCCUCAGCUCCCCUGACUGUAUUAGAUGAUGUUACUGAACCAACAUGUCAUAGUAAUAAUGAUUUAUACAGAAAGAAAUCUGCUCACAGCUGACAGCAGCCUAUGCCCCGGAGACCCCUGAGACAUGUCAUCAGUUCCAGGUUAGAGACUACAGCUACACUGAGCCCAGACACUCGAGCCUCGCUGGAAAGGACUAUACCUGGUGAUGCUGACCACCCUGACAGCCGUCAAUUCUCAGCCCUCACCAGCAGCGUACUAGCUGUUGGGGCUGAGAGCUGGGACCUAGAGGGACACUCAGAUCUUCAAAAAGCUCCCUAGACUUAAGUGACUGAGAGGUUGCUAUAAUGCUCACUUGAAGAGUGUGUUUUAAAAACAAAAAUUUCAUGUUUGCCUGUUUGCCCUGGGUUCCCUCGGAAUAGGUGUAAGGAUAGGCUUGAUUUUUAUUGCAAAUGAUAUAACAUUACAUAUGUUAGUACUCCUAACACUUCUUGAGACUGUGCCUCAGGGAUCACAAUCUAUAUAAGUUUAAAAGUUCUAAAAGACCUUGGUGUAUAGGUUCAGAUAGUGUCCAGAUUAAAAUCCUGAUGCUAAAGACUUAAUAAGACACAAAAGAGAGUUAAAAAUUAUUUAAGGCUAUCUAGGUGCUACAAGGACAGCACAAGGACAUCUACAGUUGCCCUACAAUACAAGGCUUAUAGAGAAUUAGGAACUGCCAUUGACUCAGAUAUAAAAAGAAUAAAAAAGACUUUUUAGCUGACCUCCAAGAAUACUUAACCUCCCUCUCAGAGGUAGUCCUUCAAAAUAGGAAAAGAUUAGACCUGAUAUCCUUUAAAAAAGGAGUCUGUGUGCUACACUAAAAGAAGAAUGCUGUUUCUAUGCAGAUCAGACAGGAAUAAUAAGAGAUACAGACUUUCAGUCAUUCAAACUUUUGUGCUGAGACAACAGUAUCAGAUGGUGAAACAACAAAAAAACAGAGGUACCUUAACCAAGUUGAGUGGAAGAUUCCACUCAAAGACAAAAAAAGAAAAUGGGGGAAUGAAAGACCCCCUCCCAGAAAGGGAAUUGUACAAGCCCAAGGCCCUCAACUAUAGAAGUAAAAAGUAAGUUUUUAGAUAUGUGGGACAAGCUGACCCAUCAUUUAAACGAAACAGACCAGAAAAGAAAACAAAAUGCAGAAACCAGACUAAAUUAUGGACAUUGCUCCAUGGGCCACCUGGCAGGAAAAAGAAACAGUCCCUGACCCCCCGGAAGCCCUGACCACCAUGUACUUUUUGCUAACUCACUGUUAUGAUUAUAGCGAAAAUAGGUAACAUACACGUAUGCCUCAUUUACUCCACCAAUCACAUCCCUGUAACCAUACAUCCCUGGUUCUGCUAGGCGCGCCAGUCUUCCAAAUUGACUGGGAUGCCCACAGAUACCUGUGUAUCCUGAUCAAUAAAAAUCCUCUUACAGAUUACAGCCUGUGGACUCGGUCUGGUCAUUGGGCUUGAAGAUCUCCCUCCUGAGGGAAGAUUCUCUCUGAGAGUCUUACAAAUAGAAUGCUGGAAUAUGGACUAAAGACAUAGGAAACCUAUUCAGUGAGACAUUAUUAUUAGAAAGUCUCCUCUAUCUAUUGAAAUACUAGGACAUCCAAGUACAGAAAUAAUUAGACCACCUGAUAGAUGACCUAAAACAGUCUUGUCUUAUGCUGAGCUUGCAGAACAGGAGAACAAUACUGCAGGGUACUACAGAGGGGUGCCAAGGGACUUACAAAGUACCCAACUGACAAACCAUUCAGAACAACAGGGCAUUUCUUGAUAGAAAUCUUCAAGGCCAGAGCAUGGAACGAUGCACUCUGAGCACUCAGAAAAUAACUGAGAGCCAGCAUGGCAACAGAAAAAAGUGUCCUUUUAAAAACCUUCAGGAUGGGUGUGACUAAUGCAAUGUGUGACCACUGCGCCAUCACUGAAGAAGUUACUUACAGGAAAAUUCUAAACACAAGGAAGAAGACACAAUCAGGAGUGCAGGAGAAAUAAAUCUUGCAGUUCUAAGGAACCAACAGCAGUAACUCGGUAAGUGCUGGUGAGCUUUUCAUCAACGUGAUGCACGCACACUGGAGUCACCUGUGAAGAAGAGACCUCAGGUGAGCAACCGUACCCAUCAGGUUGGCAAGGCUGUUGGGGCGUUUUUGAUGGAUGAUUGAUGUGGGAGGGCCCAGCCCACUCUGGGUUCCUGGAGUGUUUAAGAAAGCAGGCUGAGCAAGCCAUGAGGAACAACUAGUAACGCGUAUUCCUCCAUGGUCUCUGAUUCAGUCCCUGCCCGAGUUCCUGCCUUGGUGUCUCGCAGGGAUGGAUUGUGAUGUGGAAGGGUUAAGCCAAAUAAACUUUCUCCUCCCCAAGUUGCUUUUCAUCAUGGUGUUUUACCACAGCAAUAGAGAGCAAACUAACAUCGAGACAGCAAACUUCUAGGAAGAAAAAAAGAAGCCGAGGGAGAAAAAUCUAAAGAUAAAAGAAGCCCCAUUAAUUUAUUAAUUAAUUUAUAGGAUUUCAUUCAUCCCACAGGUUUUAACCUUGACUCAAACAUAAAUAGAAUUGAAAAGCAAAAAUCAGUAAGCAAUCACUGAUUGCAGCAGGAACUCACCGAGCUGGCAGAGGCAUACCAAGACUGAAAGUGAAAGGAGCAAGAAUGAACAAAUGGGACCUCAUAAAACUGCAAAGCUUCUGUAAGGCAAAGGACACUGUCAUUAGGACAAAACCACAACCAACAGAUUGGGAAAAGAUCUUUACCAAUCCCACAUGUGAUAGAGGGCUAAUAUCCAAAAUAUGCAAACAACUCAAGAAGGUAGACUCCAGAGAGUCAAAUAACCCCAUUUAAAAAUAGGGUAAAGAGCUAAAAAAAGAAUUCUCAGCUGAGGAAUAUGGAAUGACUGAGAAGUGGCUUAAAGAAAUGUUCAACAUUCUAAGUCAUCAGGGAAAUGCAAAUCAAAUCAAUCCUGAGAUUCCACUUCACAUCAGUCAGAAUGGCUAAGAUAAAAAACUCUGGUGACAACAGAUGCUGGCAAGGAUGUGGAGAAAGAGGAACACUUCUCCAUUGUUGGUGGGAUUGCAAGCUGGUACAACCACUCUGAAAAUCACUCUGGAGGUUCCUCAGAAAAUUGGACAUAGUACUACCUGAAGACCCAGCUAUACCAUUCCUGGGCAUAUACCCACAAGAUGCUCCAACAUAUAACAAGGACAUGCUCCACCAUGUUCAUAGCAGUCCUAUUUAUAAUAGCCAGAAGUUGCAAAGAACCCAGAUGCCUUUCAAUAGAGGAAUGAAUACAGAAAAUGUGGUACAUCUACACAAUGGAAUAUUACUCAGCUAUCAAAAACAACGAGUUUAUGAAAUUCCUCCAGGUAAUCAGGGCUACUGUGAGAAUCCUAUCAGCAGCACUAUACUCCACGGGGAAUGACUGAAAUUACUUCCUCUAACAUCAACAUGGAGCCAAGGGUGACCUUUCCAUCAACUAUUAUUUAAAAUAAGUUUGAGACAUCAGAGCAGUAAGUCAGGAGAAAAAUACAAAAGAGAUACAAACCAGAAAGGAAGAAGUCAAAUUACCCUAUAAGUAGAUGAGAUGCUUCGAUAUUUAAAAUCCCUCGGGACUGGCAGAGCGCUUGCCUGGCGUAUGCAAGGCUCUGAAUUUGAUCCUCUAAACCGUACAGGAUGAAAAAGUGUCUGAACAGCAUCCAGGGUUCAACCUGAUGGCUCUGCACAAGGCUGAUGAUCCGAGUUGUAGCCCCGGAACUCCAUAGAACUCCAUAGAAAGGAGAUUAAGGAGCCAUGCCUUGGUAAUCCCACCUCAGAAUUCACUCGGAAGCUGAAGGGCCAUCUGACCUGGAACACUGUGCUGAAUGAAACAUGGGAGGGACUUUGCCUCAAAAGUUGCAAGAACUGACUUUACAAGUACCCUAGGAUCUCCCUCCACAGUGUUCCGCCCCGCCCCGCCCCGCCCCUUCCCCAGACCCUGAAAAGUCCCAGAAACCCUGCUGAAAAGCAUCUCCGGAUUUAAAUAAGCAGCGUAGGUGCUGGAAACAUGCUUGAGCACCUGCGAAUGUACCCGGAAGUACAGACUGUGCACUGUAAAUUGGAGAGGUGUCUAAUGUUAACUCUGAAAUAAUAAAGCCAGUCCUGUUCUCCCACACUCACUGCAGGCAGAUGCAGGGGGGAAAAGAGCAACUCACCGCGCUGCCCAAGGAGCCUGUAGCCUCUGCCAGAGUCCCUUGCUUCUUCCCAGAGGCUGCCAGGGAAGGAAGGUGAAGAUCUGGCUGUGAUCUGGGCGGAGCAGGAAGAGAGGCUUGGAAGUUGCACGCCAUGGGGUGGGGAGUCAGGGUUCUUAUGAGCUAAGUGGUUGGGGUGCCACGGGGUCAGCAAGACUGAGAGAGCUGGGCAGUCCGCACUAUGCCCUAGAUCAGGGUCGAAUCAGUGCUGGAUGUUGAGGAUCUGACAUCUGGAUGAAGAGGGGGAAAGAAAAGUAAAAGUGUCCUUUUUUCCUCUUAUUAAUUGGAUUGGCGGCGGGGUAGCAAUCAGAAAGUGAACAUGAGCAUAAAGCAGAAAGGGACAAACAAGGGGUCAUGACUGCAGGGGAUUUGUUUCCUUGGGCGUGAAGGUUGUUAAUAUAACUUCGUUUGUCGUUUCUUUUUAUAAUUCAAGAGAACAAUUGUUCACAGUUGUAAUCUUUGUAACUGAGAGGCUAAGGCAGGAGGAUUGGGUUUGUGUGCCUUGGCUAAACAUUGAACUUUUAUCUCCAAAAGAACAAAAAGACGGAGUGAUUGCACUUGGACUGUUAACCUGGGUCAGACGGUGCUCUGUGUACAGCAACGGAGGAAUCAUAGAACCGUUAAAGUUAAAGGUUGAAGAGUGAAUUUCACUACCCAACCAGUUUUAACAUUCUAGCCUGGAUCAGGGAGGAAGAAGCAUAUCCUCCCCGCCCCACCCCCGCUGCCCCUCCCCAGCAACACACACCUCUAGCUGAGGAACUGUAGACAGUUGGUGACUGCCAGGGGAGGAAAAGUCAGUCAGUUUUCUUCAGGAGAGUGGUCCUCGGUGUGCUGACUGACCAGGGGAGGUUUUUACACUGAGGAGUGUAUGGGCAGCUCUGACUGGACUCCAGGGGUUAUUGAAGGAGAGGAAAGAGGGAGGAGGAGGAGGGAGAGAGGAGGGAGGGAGAGAGAAAAGGAGGAGGAUGCUGCAGUUGGGAGAGGACUCUGAGGGGAAUCCUGUGGGAAGGCAGCAGUGGAGAUUAAGUGAGGCUGACUGUGGUUAAUCCAUCCUAUGCAUUAAAUUCUCGAAAUUCUCAAAGAAUAAACAUUUUAAAUAGCUUUCGUUAGGAUUACCUUUUACUGGAGUCCAAAUACACACAAAGCGAGAAGAGGCCGGGGCAGUGGACUGACUUCUAAGCAUAAGGUCCUGAGUUCAGAUGCCAGCACCCAGGGAAAAGCCUGCCAAUGGGAAGGAGAGGCAUGAGGGUCCCUGGGGCUACUGGCCAGCAUUCUGUCUGUCAGAAAUCCUCUAGUUCAUUCCUCAGGUUCAGUGAGGGAGGGAGGGAAACACCAAUGUCACAGAAUGCAAGAUACAUUUACCAUGUGACACAUUUGUAAUUGUGAAAUUCAGAGGGUUUUUUUUUUUUUUUUUUUUUUUUUAACAGUGCAUUGAGAGCACUUCUGGGAUGAAGGGUAAGAAUACACACCUAUAAUCUCAGGACUCAUAGCCUGAGUCCCAAGGUUUCCAAGUUGAAGGACAGCCUGUGCUACAUAGGAAGUUGUAGCCUGGGCUAGAAAGACUGCUUCUGCCCUCUACUUGGAAUCUAGAACAUAAGAUUUUCAGGUAUAUCCUUAUGAAUUUCUGAACUUUGUUGGUAUCUGAUGUAAUAUGUCUACUGUCGGUGUGCAUUUUUCUUUGCUAGUUUGCUAACAGUUCACCGAUCUGGCUUCUCUCUUCAUUUAUUGUUCGAUGACAUUAUUGUAUUUUUUUCUGUCUCACUGUUGUUCAGUUCUACCCUGCUCUCCCUUCUUCACGUCUGCUGCUGUCUGGUUUGCCAUGUUCUUGUGUUCCCAAGGCAAUGAGGUGGAUCACUGAACAUUGCUUUAAAAAUGAAGAGAGAAGAAAAGGAUAGGAAGACAAGAGACUCAGAGUGUAGACUAAAUGUCAUGUCAGCAACACCUAACCGUGUCUCUCAUGGAUAUCAUGCAAUAAAUUCCCAGACAGAAUAAGGACAUUUUUCAUAAUAUGCCUAUUUCCUCAUAAUUGGGAGAAUUGAGCUGAACUCCAACCUAAGAGUCUACCCCAGUCCUUGUACUUAACAGCUGUAAGAGCAACUACCACUUCAUUUUAUAAAAUAGCCAUUAUUAUAAAAAGUGAAUGAGAGUCUACUGCAUUCUCAGUGAGCUUUUCUACUGAUGCCAGUGAGGACUGGAAGGGAACAAUAGCAGGCAGGGAACUCUUGACACACAAGCACUCAUCGGUAGACUUUCUGGAUUGUGUUUUCCACUUCCUGCACAGGCUCUAGUGAUGAAAGCUGGCAAGGUGAUUACUCCAUUUCUCUACUCUGUGGUAGUGGACUCUGGAAGUGAUUAACAAGGUCAGACAGCAGAAGGCCACAGAAUCAGGACCUGAUACACGGUGAUCACUUCCGGUCCUUCUGAGUUCGGGCUGAGGCCCUUGGGUCUGUUUCAGAGUUGCUCUCCCGGGUUUGGCUCUCACACCUGGUCUCUAAUGAAUACUCCAGAAAAACAGAUCCAGGAUUGUGAGGAGAGACAGAAUUCAGUAAGUGGAGUGUUUGGUGCACAUGCAUGUGCACCUGCUCAGCGCCAGCACACAGGUGGGUCGGCAGCCACACUCUAACUGUAAUGCUGGGACAGUGGAGGUGGGCAGACUUCUGGAAAUCACUGGCCCAUCAGCCUGGAUAACCACUGUGCACAAGCCAAAAGAGAAAAUUGGUCUCAUAAAUAAAUACAUUGUCUCAGUUUGGGUUUUAUUGCUCUGAAGAGACACUAUGACCAAGAACUCUUACAAAGGACAACAUUUAAUUGGGGUGUCCUACAGGUUCACGGGUUCAGUCCGUUAUCAAUUAGCAGGAGCAGGGCAGCGUCCGUGCAGGUAAGGCUCAGGAGGAGCUGACAGUUGUACAUCUUGAUGUGAAGUUUGCUAGGAGAAAUCUGGCUUUUCUGCACUGGGUGGAGCUUCAAAGCCCAGCCCCACAGGGGUGCCCUUCCACCAACAAAGCCACACCUCCUAAGAGUGCUGCUCCCUUUGUCAAGCUUGCUCAAACCACCAUGACGAUCUUCCUAAAAUUUCUGUAUGCAUGAAAACUUUGAAGGUGAAACCAAAGGUAGAGGUAUCCUGCUGUGACUCCAGCGGGUUGGGAGGCAGUGAGGACAACAUGGAUUUUGGGCAAGUUAAUAAACUGAGCAAAGAUAAACUGACUGAGAAGUGGGUGGGGACAAGGCCCGGAAGUGGGUGGGAACAAGGCCCGGAUAUAGAAUACACUGUAGGUGGCAGGAAUGAGCUAUGAAAUCUCUGCCUCACUGGUCAAAGCCUGAACCCCCUAGGAGGCACAGAAUAGGAUUGGGGAUGAAGUGGCUCAUGUGGGCAGGCAGCAGCAGCACUGAGGUAAGUCCAGAGAGACCUAAAUGGAGGACAGGAAGGAGGAUGAAGGUCCCCUAGCUGAGUACUAGCCUACUGUGGCAGCUGUGAAUCCCUGCUAGAGAGAGAUUUUUGUGGUCAGCAGAGUCACAAAGGAAUGACUGAAUGGGGGUAGGGGUGGGGGCCAGCAGGAAGGACAAUGGAAACACUGAGUCUAUAACAAGAGCCAAAAUGGAUAUUUUGUUAUACUACACAUCAAUGUUUAAGAUGUUUAAAAACACUGAUGAGUAUCACUGAUGAGUACUUUCCUUUUAUGGAAAAAGAAUGAAUGAGGGAGUUAUGAAAGGUAAUUGUAGAAACACAAGGGCUAGACCUGUGAAGGUGCAGAUAUAGCAGCUAGUAAACAAUAGCCUGUAAUCUCCAGGGCUGCAAAGGAUCUUGGGAACUAGCAGAUCUGGGAGUGGGCAAUUGUUCCAAGAGGUAGUUUGUACAGACAGAAAUGUGGAAGACCAAGUCCAAACAUCUGUGUCUCAGGAGCGUUCCUUUUGAGAGCCUCUAGUCAAACCGCACACCACCAAGUUAAUCCUGGAGGUUAAGUGACUUUUCACAUCCAGAGUUUACCCUGAAAUGUCACAAUGAAAGAUAAAAGUUUUAAAGUUGCCCCCCUAGACACAAAGUUUAGAGCAGAAGAAACAGGUUAGGCCUCAGAAUUGUAUGUUCCAGGAAGCCUCUCCUGGGAACUAAUGGACCAUGAAGUUAAAAAUCUGAGAAGCAGGAGACAGCUUCUCCUAGGAAACAAUCCUGAAAAACAGAGAGUUUCUCCUUGUGAUUUUUCACUGGUAUUCUUUACACUUUCCAAUGACACCAUCCCUGCCCCCUCGGUUGUGCUUUCUCCCUUUAAAUACCCCUUCUCCCAGCCCCUCGGGGUCAAACUCCACUGCCGCUGCGUGGGAUAUGAGUCUCGACCCCAGUGCACUGGUUCCUAUCUAUAAACCUCAUGUGAUUACAGCAAGGAUAGUCUUGUGUGAGUUCUUGGGUGGUCGCUUCAUCGCAAGACUUGAGUGAGGGUCUCCUCGCUCCGGGGAUCUUUCAACAAGAGCCAUUUCAUAUCAUGAAAACCCUGUCUUUAAUUAUGGCUUUAAUUAUAGCCAACGCCCUCAGUUAAGACUCCUGAACCAUUACACAUCACCACAGAGACGUAUCCCUCUGUGCUGGCUAUUUUUAUGACAACUUGGUCAUCAGAGAGCAAGGAACAUCAAUUGAGAAAAUGCCUCCAUAAAAUAAUACUUUCUUAACUAGUGACUGAUGGGGGAGGGCGCAGCUCAUUAUGGUGGUGCCAUCCCUGGGCUGGUGGUCCUGGGUUCUGUGAGAAAGCACGAUAAGAAAGCCAUGUGAAGCAAGCCAGCACUCAGCACCCUCCAUGGCCCUUCCAGCAGCUCCUACCACCAGGUUUCUGCUCUGCAUUAGAUCCAGUCCUGACUUCCUUAAGUGGUGACCACCAGUGUGGAAGUGUAAUCUGGAUAAACCCUUUCCUCCCCAACUCGCUUUUUCCAUAGUGUUUUGUUUUAGCCACAGAAACUCUGAGACACUUCCCUUAAAUCUCACUUCCUCAAUGAGCUGACUGGGAAUGUUUUUAUAGUCACUCAUUAUGUGUGGGCUUUGGCUUGUUUUUGUUUUGACAUAGUGUCUUUUGUAGCCCAGGUUAGCCUCAAGCAUAGUAUGGAGCUGAGCAUGACCUUGAACCUGAUCUUCCCACCACCAAUCACGGAUCAUUGGCCAUUACAUUCUCACUGUAGAGAUGAAACUGAUACCAAUGGAUGUAAAAUUUUCUAGGACAAAUUCUCCUUUUCCAGGUUAAUUAAAUUGAUGAAUUAUGUCUCAUGAUUUUUAUGGAUGAGACGAACUAGCAUGCAAUACUUCCUAAUGUUAGUUUGGGGCUUGGACUCUGUAGUUUAUCUUGUUGUUUUGUCAAUUUUUAAAAACCAUCGCUGAUUUACAGAAUGAGAUACCAAAAUUUUAAAAAGGAAAACUUCAUUGGAUACUUUACACGAAAGUUGCUUUUCUAUAAUUUUAUUUUUAAAAAUAUACAAUUCCAUAUAUAAUGCAUUUCAGCCAUUUCCCCCUCCGUCCACCUCUCUCAUUUUCCUUACACUCCCUUCAAAUACUCUUCUUUACAAGUCUCUUUCUCACACCCACAUCUUUGUCUUAUGACCCACAGAGUUUAAACAGGGCUGUGUGUGGGAUCAGAGUGUUUCGGACUUUCCACUGGAGUCUCUAGGCUCAAAUGUGAACAUACAUGUGAAAUCAAUGACUGCCUCUCCCCCAUGAUCUUCCAGUAGCCAAUAGUUGAGCAGAAUGGGGGAUGGACCCAUUGAGUUCUCCUCUGCUCCUUCUGUGCUGAUGAGGGAUCCAGUCUUCUGUAGGUAGCCGUAGAGUUGAGACACAGACCAUGGUUGCCUUGGCUGUGCAGGACCACAAUAUUGCAUUUCCACUCCUUCUUCUCAUAUUCUGGCUCCUGCACUCUUUCUACUGUACAAUGCUCUGAGCUAUAGAGGGCACGCAAUAGGUGUCCUGUUGGAGAUAAGCACUGGAGUGUCCCUUAGCCCUGUACUGUGAGCAGCCAUGAGUCUCUACGUUCAUCAGUGUUCACAGCAGAGGGAUCCUCUCUGGGUCAGGCUGGAUGUAGCAUUUGUCCAGGAAUACAAUUACAGACAUACAGAAGAUACUUUGGUAUUUAGUUAAACAACUGAAGAAAAUUCCUCCCCCGGGAUCUAAGAACUUCUAAUGUCUUAACCUGUAAUAACUGCACAUAGGUAAUUGUUAAGAGGAUAAUCAUUAUACAAGCUAAAGCCAGGUGAUUCUCCCAGAAGCCCCACGAUGAGAGAUCGAUGCCCUGGAUCGCCAAGAAUUCUUCACCAGCACAUCUGUAAUUCAACACACACAAAGGAUUUAGAACACCACAAAUCUUCUGAAAGAGCAGAUUUCUUCCUCUUGAGAGGAUGAACCUAUGAGGAGGAAGAAUGGGGAUGGCCUCCUCUGCUUUCACUUUCCCAUCCAUGUCCUCCUGACCAGGAACUGGAAAGGAAGUUGUAUUAGAAGAGCCCAGGCCACACCAGGAGAGAGAAUAUGUGAGAAAUAAGGUCUCUCUCCAAACAGGUUUUCUCAUCAGUAAAUCAAAAUGAAAAA